rnacentral:rRNA from 1 species
UACGUAGGCAGCAAGCGUUGUUCGGAAUUACUGGGCGUAAAGAGUGUGUAGGCGGUGCUCCAAGUCUGUUGUGAAAUCUCCCGGCUUAACUGGGAGGGUGCGGCGGAAACUGGAGUGCUUGAGUGUGGGAGAGGUAAGCGGAAUUCCAGGUGUAGCGGUGAAAUGCGUAGAUAUCAGGAGGAACACCUGUGGUGUAGACAGCUUACUGGACCACGACUGACGCUGAGACACGAAAGCGUGGGUAGCAAACGGG